rnacentral:rRNA from 1 species
CUCGUAGGCGGUCUGUCGCGUCGGAUGUGAAAAUCCAGGGCUCAACCCUGGACCUGCAUUCGAUACGGGCAGACUAGAGUUCGGUAGGGGAGACUGGAAUUCCUGGUGUAGCGGUGAAAUGCGCAGAUAUCAGGAGGAACACCGGUGGCGAAGGCGGGUCUCUGGGCCGAAACUGACGCUGAGGAGCGAAAGCGUGGGAGCAAACA